UACGUAGGUGACCAGCGUUGUCCGGAUUUACUGGGCGUAAAGAGCGCGCAGGCGGUCGUUCAAGUCGAGUGUGAAAGCCCCCGGCUCAACUGGGGAGGGUCAUUCGAUACUGAUCGACUUGAAGGCAGGAGAGGGAAGUGGAAUUCCCGGUGUAGUGGUGAAAUGCGUAGAUAUCGGGAGGAACACCAGUGGCGAAGGCGACUUCCUGGCCUGUUCUUGACGCUGAGGCGCGAAAGCUAGGGGAGCAAACGGG
rnacentral:rRNA from 1 species